rnacentral:rRNA from 1 species
AGUCGAGGGGUAGCAGGUCUUUCGGGACGCUGACGACCGGCGCACGGGUGAGUAACGCGUAUGCAACCUACCUUUUACAUAGGGAUAGCCUGGAGAAAUUUGGAUUAAUACCUUAUAAUAUAAUGAUUAGGCAUCUGGUUAUUAUUAAAGAUUUAUCGGUAAAAGAUGGGCAUGCGUAACAUUAGUUAGUUGGUAAGGUAAUAGCUUACCAAGGCUUUGAUGUUUAGGGGCUUUGAGAGGAUUGUCCCCCACACUGGUACUGAGACACGGACCAGACUCCUACGGGAGGCAGCAGUGAGGAAUAUUGGUCAAUGGUUGCGAGACUGAACCAGCCACUCCGCGUGCAGGAUGACGGCCUUAUGGGUUGUAAACUGCUUUUUUGUAGGAAGAACAUGUAUUACGUGUAAUAUUUUGACUGUACUAUAAGAAUAAGCAUCGGCUAACUCCGUGCCAGCAGCCGCGGUAAUACGGAGGAUGCGAGCGUUAUCCGGAUUUAUUGGGUUUAAAGGGUGCGUAGGCUGGCUAUUAAGUCAGGGGUGAAAUCUCACAGCUUAACUGUGAAACUGCCUUUGAUACUUUUAGUCUUGAGUAUACUCAAGGUGGGCGGAAUGUGUAAUGUAGCGGUGAAAUGCUUAGAUAUUACACAGAAGACCGAUUGCGAAGGCAGCUCACUGGAGUAUAACUGACGCUGAUGCACGAAAGCGUGGGUAGCGAACAGGAUUAGAUACCCUGGUAGUCCACGCCGUAAACGAUGAUAACUGGAUGUGUGCGAUACAUUGUACGCGUCUGAGCGAAAGCAUUAAGUUAUCCACCUGGGGAGUACGUUGGCAACAAUGAAACUCAAAGGAAUUGACGGGGGCCCGCACAAGCGGAGGAACAUGUGGUUUAAUUCGAUGAUACGCGAGGAACCUUACCUGGGCUUAAAUGUAGAUUGCAUAGUUUGGAAACGGAUUUUUCUUUUCGGAGACUAUUUACAAGGUGCUGCAUGGUUGUCGUCAGCUCGUGCCGUGAGGUGUCGGGUUAAGUCCCAUAACGAGCGCAACCCCUAUUCUUAGUUACCAUCGAGUAAUGUCGGGGACUCUAAGGAGACUGCCACCGUAAGGUGCGAGGAAGGUGGGGAUGACGUCAAAUCAGCACGGCCCUUACGUCCAGGGCUACACACGUGUUACAAUGGUCGGUACAGAGAGUCGCUAUACUGUGAAGUAAUGCUAAUCUUGAAAACCGGUCUCAGUUCGGAUUGGAGUCUGCAACUCGACUCCAUGAAGUUGGAUUCGCUAGUAAUCGCGUAUCAGCAACGACGCGGUGAAUACGUUCCCGGGCCUUGUACACACCGCCCGUCAAGCCAUGGAGGCUGGGGGUACCUGAAGU